UGAAACACUUACAAGUUUCUCUAAAUGC
rnacentral:sRNA from 1 species